AGGAUUAACGCUGGCGGCGUGCAUGAAACAUGCAAGUCGAGCGCGGUGUGAUGCGGGGUAACCCAAUUCACAUCUAGCGGCGAACGGGUGAGUAACACGUGAGCAACCUACCUUUGAGUUGGGGAUAGCCCUGGGAAACCAGGAUUAAUACCCGAUGUGGUCACAACAGGACAUCCUGAUGUGAGUAAAGGCGCAAGCCGCUCAAUGACGGGCUCGCGGCCUAUUAGCUUGUUGGUGGGGUAACGGCCUACCAAGGCGAUGAUCGGUAGCUGGUCUGAGAGGAUGACCAGCCAGACUGGGACUGAGAACGGCCCAGACUCCUACGGGAGGCAGCAGUAGGGAAUUUUCCACAAUGGGCGAAAGCCUGAUGGAGCAACGCCGCGUGCAGGAUGAAGGCCUUCGGGUCGUAAACUGCUUUUCUCUGUGAAGAUUAUGACGGUAACAGAAGAAUAAGGAUCUGCUAACUACGUGCCAGCAGCCG
rnacentral:rRNA from 1 species